UCUUACUCUUGGAUCUUUAUCAAAGAGAUGGAUGUACCUGGAUGGCGACUUGGUUGGUUCGUGACAAGUGACCCUUGCGGCAUGUUUAGAAACCGAAGGUUGUUGAGCGUAUUAAGAAGUACUUUGAUCUCCUUGGGGGCCCUGCACCUUCAUUCAGGCAGCCGUUCCUCGCAUCAUCGAGCAAACUGAUGAGCUUUUCUUCCAGCAAACCAUAAAUAUACUGAAGAAUAGCUCAGUAUCUGCUAUGAAUGGAUAAAGGAGAUUCCUUGCAUUAGUUGCCCCUACAAACCAGAGGG